CGAGUCGGUCGGAUGAUCGCGGGCAGCAAUGUUCGAGGAAAGUCCGGACUCCAUAGGGCAAGAGUGGUGGAUAACGUCCACCUGGGGUGACCCACGGGAAAGUGCAACAGAAAGUAAACCGCCUAGCAAUAGGUAAGGGUGAAACGGUGAGGUAAGAGCUCACCAGUACUUAUGGCGACAUAGGUAGCUAGGUAAACCCCACUCGGAGCAAGACCAAGUAGCAGGUGACUGCCCGUCACACGCCUGCAGGUAGGUUGCAACAGGUUGUUGGUAACAACAAUCGCAGAUGGAUGAUCAUCGCGCGCAAGCGUACAGAAUCCGGCUUACAGACCGACUCGUCUA
rnacentral:RNase_P_RNA from 1 species